rnacentral:SRP_RNA from 1 species
UCCAGCCCCUCAUACGGCAUCACCCUGUGAACCUCCCUAGGGCCGGAAGGCAGCAAGGAUAAGCAGGCUCUGAUGGGUGUGUGAGGGGUCCUUCUU